rnacentral:tRNA from 1 species
GGGAGUUUAGCUCAGCUGGGAGAGCAUCUGCCUUACAAGCAGAGGGUCAGCGGUUCGAUCCGUUAACUCCCA